UUAGAACAGCACAUGCGGUUUGGCCGAUAACGGGUCGCGCAGGACCCGCAAAUCGGGACGCUCGGCAAUCGUGUAACCAGCGCCGAAAUCGCCAAAGGCGAUGGCCGUGGCAUCGGUCGCGAUAUCUGGCAUGUCCUCGGCAAUCAGAACGGGAUACCCCAUCAGGCGGGCCGGUUCGCCUGCGGCCAGACCGUCAGACCACAGGAAACGGCCAUCGGCAUCUUUCAUCUUGCGCACUGCGCCGGCCGUCUUGGAAUUCAUCACGAAACUGGCAUUGGCCCGGUAACGUGCGCCCAGCGAAUAGACCAGAUCUACGAUCGCAUCGGCGGGGUUCGUGCCGUCAAAAUCGCCCGCCGUACCGGUCACGACAUAGCCCAAACCGCCCCAGCUCCAGCUGGAAUUAUCAACGGAAGGAUGGGUCAGAAAGCCGGUGGGCUUGUCGAUGCCAUCGCCCGAGACAAACGCCAUGGAUUCCGCGCGGCUGAACUUGUCUGCGAUGCGGCCCGCCAACCAGCCUUCGAUAUCGAACGCCGUGUCAUCCAGCAGGCGUUGCGAGGCUUUGGGCAGGGCCGAAAGCUCGUGCAGCGGAAUGGCGAUCCGGUCGAUCGACGGGGUGGAGGUCUCGGUCGCGGAGGUGGUUUCAUCCGCCCAGCCUGCACCGAUUUCGCUAUGGUCGACCAACACGUCGAAGGAGGUCGCCUCGACAUUCACCACAUUGGCCACGGAUCGCAGCGACGAUGCGCCGUGCAACACGCCCUGGAUCAUUUCAGCGGUCUGCGGAUCGACCAGAUAGCC
rnacentral:rRNA from 1 species